rnacentral:rRNA from 1 species
UAGGGAAUUUUGGGCAAUGGGCGAAAGCCUGACCCAGCAACGCCGCGUGUGGGAUGAAGGCCCUCGGGUCGUAAACCACUGUCAGGAGGAAAGAAAAGUCGGCCGGAUAAUACUCGGUCGACCUGACGGUACCUCCAAAGGAAGCACCGGCUAACUCCGUGCCAGCAGCCGCGGUAAUACGUAGGGUGCUAGCGUUGUUCGGAAUCAUUGGGCGUAAAGCGAGUGCAGGCCGUUAGUUAAGUCGGAUGUGAAAUCCCUGGGCUCAACCGAGGAAGUGCAUUCGAAACUAACUAGCUAGAAGAUGGUAGAGGAAGGUGGAAUUCCAAGUGUAGAGGUGAAAUUCGUAGAUAUUUGGAGGAAUACCUGUGGCGAAGGCGGUCUACCAGAACACGUUCGACGGUGAGGGAUGAAAGCUGGGGGAGCAAACCGGAUUAGAUACCCUCGUAGUCCCUGAGCGGGCUGGCAAGGCGCAU